UUUUUGCGUCAUCAUGACUGCGUAAAAAAGAUGAAGCAUGAAAAUCUACUACUACGAAAGUUUGUUUUUUACUCCCGUUGUUUGAGUAGUCCGAACCCUGGUAUGGAUACAUAUCAAUGAAAAGAAUUCAUUUACACCAUUGGAAUUUUCUUAAUGCAUGAGGUUCUACGCACGCAACCAGAUAAAAAUACAUAAGCCUACAUCUGUCCUCGGGCGCUGGCAUUUGGUGACCAUAUCGGGACUCGGCUGGAGUACCAGAACCCCAAAGAAACCCGAAAGUGGCCAAAGCACUAUUGCCUACAUAUAUGCACCUUUGAGCUACACUUGGCGUAACGCCCCUAACCUCGCUAUUAUGCAGUAUUAUGCUAUAUUAAUAGCUACUCUGCAUGUAUGACAGACGGAAAUGCAAUUAGAACUCACUAAUUCAAUAUGCGCAAUAUCUCAGAGCAAGUAUAUUCGCCUAAACUUUUAUACAUCAACUUAACCUACAAGCAAAGCAAGAGUGGUGCGGCGAAUUGCAAGAUGACCACGUGGAAAUCUUUCUGAUAUUCCGCAUUCGUAAUGCGACCGGCUUCUUUGCGUAUGUCCAUGAUUUUAUCACAAGCUAACUUUUGAUACGAUUGCAAAUAUAUUCGUAUUAAAGCGAAGCGUAGUAGUACGAUUAUUAUGACAAUUAGCAGGCGAAUUGUGUCAAGGCCUCCACUGAAAGUAAAGGCUUCUACAUGCCCACAUAUCGAUGCACUUGCUGCGUUCAGUUACAUCUGGUCUUUAUUGGCCGAUUCGCUUUUUUUACUAUUGACUUGGCACAGUGCUACCCAGUCAACGCUGCAUGAACGCAAAUCUAGUAAAACGAUGACACGCAAACCCGUGGAACUACAGCGUCAACGCCGUCAUGAAAGGGUGAAGUGCUAUUGCGAAACUGAACUGUGUGAUUGGACAAACUAAACUAAGGGUGCGCGAAUAAAGAAACCAUGCGGCUGAAACGACUACAAUGAGAAGCAGCCUGACGACUCUGGCAACAAAAAUUAGAACGGAAGCAGAAAUCUGUGAGUUUUAAAAUUAUAAUUAUCAUU